rnacentral:rRNA from 1 species
UACGUAGGGACCAAGCGUUGUCCGGAUUUAUUGGGCGUAAAGAGCUCGUAGGCGGCCCUCCACGUCGGAUGUGAAAGCUCAGGGCUCAACCCUGAGAUGCCAUUCGAUACGGGAAGGCUAGAGGUGAGGUAGGGGAAAGUGGAAUUCCUGGUGUAGCGGUGAAAUGCGCAGAUAUCAGGAGGAACACCGGUGGCGAAGGCGGCUUUCUGGGCCUUACCUGACGCUGAGGAGCGAAAGCUGGGGAGCGAACAGG